UUUUAAGAUAUAUUUUUUUCUUUUUUGUAGUCAUGCACCAUACCGGUGAUAUUCUAAUGAGCUUUUGCAUAGUUAGUUGAAAUGUCAAAGCUAACGAUAUAUGGUUUUGGAUUCGAAUGGUUAACAGUUCGGAACAGUGUUCUUCAGACCAUGAUUUAUAAAUCUCUAAAUUAAUAGAUAUUUAAAGUAUAUGUUUUGAAAAGAAUAUUUUAUAGAUCAUUGAUUUUUUAACAUUUUUUCUCAAGUCUGUACGUCUGUUUGUACACGUCUGAUGUUUUAUUCACACUUAUGUUAUUUAUAUAUUUUUUGUUUACAUUAUUCAGGUGCAUCAUAAGCUGUACUUGUGCUAGGAUGAUACUUAAAAAACAUUUUAAAGAAAUUAACAAAUUAAGUAUAAUAACAUGUUUUUGAAACAACAUGAAAAUAUAUUAGAGAAUUAAGCGAAACUUUAUAGUACAUUCAACGCCGUGUACUUCAUGCAUAAACUGUGACUGAUAAUGCAUAAAAUUAUGGUGUAAAUUUAUAGUGACAUGAUGUACAUGGUAUGCUUCAAAAUUAUCAGAGAGCAGGACACACUCUUUAAAUGUAAAUCAAGCAAGAAAAGUCUUCGCUUUUCAUAGGCAUACAUACAAUUUUUUUUUUUUUUUUUUUU